CGAUGAUGCAUAGCCCGAGUUGAGAGACUGAUCGGGCCACAUUGGGACUGAGACACGGGCCCAAACUCCUACGGGAGGCAGCAGUAGGGGGAAUCUUCCACAAUGGACGCAAAGUCUGAUGGAGCAAAACGCCGCGUGAGUGAAGAAGGGUUUCGGCUCGUAAAAGCUCUGUUGUUGGUGAAGAAGGACAGGGGUAGUAACUGACCCUUUGUUUGACGGUAAUCAAUUUAGAAAGUCACGGGCUAACUACGUGCCCAGCAGCCGCGGUAAA
rnacentral:rRNA from 1 species